UCAAUCAAGAUUCCAUCUUCCCCACAAUGUGUUAUUCACUCAAGCCAUGAGCCAUUCUAGAAGUGUACUCUUGCCUCAAUAUAUUCAUGCCUGGGGCCAACUGUACUUUCUUCCAAAUACUCCUAACCUCAAUCUCAGCAUAGCACUGGCCAGCAAACACAUGGCCUCCAUCCUCCACAAUAUAUUGGAUCAACUUUCCAGCAGAAGGUGAACGGAGUACAGAUGGGUCAUUCUCCUUUUCAAAUACACAGGUCUUAUUGCCAAUUGUGAUGCGGUAUCUAAGGAACACAAAUGGGGCAAACAGAUCUUGAAUCACUUAAGUUGUAUAACUACUUCCAUCAUAGGACAAAAGUAAUCCUCCAUCACUCAGACGGUGCACAUCUACCUCUACACAGGAACCAUUCAUGAUCACCACAUAGGAGUUAGGGGACUGUCGGGUCACCUAUUGGCCAUCAAAAACAAUUGGAGAUGGACACUGUAUCAUUUCUAAGCAGAGCCCUGGAGAUGACCACAGAAUAACAGAAUAAGAGAAAACACCAACCACUGUGAAAGUCCAUGUGACGUUAGUCCUGCUACUCUCCUUUAUCCUUUUUUUCUGACUCUCUCCUGCUUCUCUGCUUUCUUCCUUUCCUCUAGCUAUUUCUUAGACCUGCUAAAGUAGCCAUAGGUUCUACUGGGCUCCACUGGUGAUAAACUCAUCUAAAGCAGUUGUUUUUUCUCUAGUUUGAAUUCACUCUUCAACCUCUUGCCUGAACACCAAGAGGUUACACAGAACUCCACAGUCCCUGUGCAGCAUGAAGCUGGCUUUCAUAGAUUAAAAUAACCCAAGGACAGGCUUUUACUACAAUACCAUAUGCCACCCCAGGUAAAUGUGCUACAGCUAAAAACAUCCAACCACCUUUAAACUCUUUUGAUAAUACUUUUUGGCUGACUCCUCAGAAUGCCCCACUCACUCUUAUCCCUUCUUAACUUCCAUUUUGUAAAAUACAAUUCAAUCAUUCUGUAGCCCAAAUGUUUUCUGUGCCUCUUCCCUUAAAAAAAAUUGACAGAAUAGCAAGGAAUAGGGUUCUCAGAGAUGUUCAUACCUUCAGCACAUACUUGGCUCCUUCAUAUAUAAGCUCAACAUCAACUGUGUUCAGAAGUGUGUGAGCAGGAAGGAC